rnacentral:rRNA from 1 species
CGUGCUUAACACAUGCAAGUCGAAACGCGAAAGGGACUUCGGUCCUGAGUAAAGUGGCGCACGGGUGAGUAACGCGUAGAUAACCUGUCUUCAUGUCUGGAAUAAUACGCCGAAAGGGGUACUAAUACCGGAUAUUCUUGCUUUUCAUAAGUUAUGCAAGCAAAGGUGGCCUCUGCAUAUGCUACUGCAUGAAGAGGGGUCUGCGUACCAUUAGCUAGUAGGUGGGGUAAUGGCCUACCUAGGCGACGAUGGUUAGCGGGUCUGAGAGGAUGAUCCGCCACACUGGCACUGGAACACGGGCCAGACUCCUACGGGAGGCAGCAGUGAGGAAUAUUGCGCAAUGGGGGAAACCCUGACGCAGCGACGCCGCGUGAGUGAGGAAGGCCUUCGGGUCGUAAAGCUCUGUCAAGAGGAAAGAAGUGUACAAUGGCUAAUACCUGUUGUAUUUGACGGUACCUCUAAAGGAAGCACCGGCUAACUCCGUGCCAGCCGCCGC